rnacentral:rRNA from 1 species
UCAAGUGAAGAAGCGCAUACGGUGGAUGCCUUGGCAGUCAGAGGCGAUGAAAGACGUGGUAGCCUGCGAAAAGCUUCGGGGAGUCGGCAAACAGACUGUGAUCCGGAGAUGUCUGAAUGGGGGAACCCAGCCAUCAUAAGAUGGUUAUCUUACACUGAAUACAUAGGUGUAAGAGGCGAACCAGGGGAACUGAAACAUCUAAGUACCCUGAGGAAAAGAAAUCAACCGAGAUUCCCUUAGUAGUGGCGAGCGAACGGGGACCAGCCCUUAAGUUGUAUUGAGAUUAGCGGAACGCUCUGGAAAGGGCGGCCAUAGCGGGUGAUAGCCCUGUACGCGAAAAUCCCUUUGCAAUGAAAUCGAGUAGGACGGGGCACGAGAAACCUUGUCUGAAUAUGGGGGGACCAUCCUCCAAGGCUAAAUACUACUGACUGACCGAUAGUGAACCAGUACCGUGAGGGAAAGGCGAAAAGAACCGCGGAGAGCGGAGUGAAAUAGAUCCUGAAACCGUAUGCGUACAAGCAGUGGGAGCCCACUUUGUUGGGUGACUGCGUACCUUUUGUAUAAUGGGUCAGCGACUUAUUUUCAGUGGCGAGCUUAACCGAAUAGGGGAGGCGUAGCGAAAGCGAGUCUUAAUAGGGCGUCUAGUCGCUGGGAAUAGACCCGAAACCGGGCGAUCUAUCCAUGGGCAGGUUGAAGGUUGGAUAACACUAACUGGAGGACCGAACCGACUACCGUUGAAAAGUUAGCGGAUGACCUGUGGAUCGGAGUGAAAGGCUAAUCAAGCUCGGAGAUAGCUGGUUCUCCUCGAAAGCUAUUUAGGUAGCGCCUCAUGUAUCACUGUAGGGGGUAGAGCACUGUUUCGGCUAGGGGGUCAUCCCGACUUACCAAACCGAUGCAAACUCCGAAUACCUACAAGUGCCGAGCAUGGGAGACACACGGCGGGUGCUAACGUCCGUCGUGAAAAGGGAAACAACCCAGACCGUCAGCUAAGGUCCCAAAGUCAUGGUUAAGUGGGAAACGAUGUGGGAAGGCUUAGACAGCUAGGAGGUUGGCUUAGAAGCAGCCACCCUUUAAAGAAAGCGUAAUAGCUCACUAGUCGAGUCGGCCUGCGCGGAAGAUGUAACGGGGCUCAAACCAUGCACCGAAGCUACGGGUAUCAUCUUUUGAUGAUGCGGUAGAGGAGCGUUCUGUAAGCCUGUGAAGGUGAGUUGAGAAGCUUGCUGGAGGUAUCAGAAGUGCGAAUGCUGACAUGAGUAACGACAAUGGGUGUGAAAAACACCCACGCCGAAAGACCAAGGUUUCCUGCGCAACGUUAAUCGACGCAGGGUUAGUCGGUCCCUAAGGCGAGGCUGAAAAGCGUAGUCGAUGGAAAACAGGUUAAUAUUCCUGUACUUCUGGUUAUUGCGAUGGAGGGACGGAGAAGGCUAGGCCAGCCUGGCGUUGGUAGUCCAGGUUUAAGGUGGUAGGCUGAGAUCUUAGGUAAAUCCGGGAUCUUAAGGCCGAGAGCUGAUGACGAGUGUUCUUUUAGAACAUGAAGUGGUUGAUGCCAUGCUUCCAAGAAAAGCUUCUAAGCUUCAGGUAACCAGGAACCGUACCCCAAACCGACACAGGUGGUUGGGUAGAGAAUACCAAGGCGCUUGAGAGAACUCGGGUGAAGGAACUAGGCAAAAUGGCACCGUAACUUCGGGAGAAGGUGCGCCGGUGAGGGUGAAGCAUUUACUGCGUAAGCCCACGCCGGUCGAAGAUACCAGGCCGCUGCGACUGUUUAUUAAAAACACAGCACUCUGCAAACACGAAAGUGGACGUAUAGGGUGUGACGCCUGCCCGGUGCCGGAAGGUUAAUUGAUGGGGUUAGCGCAAGCGAAGCUCUUGAUCGAAGCCCCGGUAAACGGCGGCCGUAACUAUAACGGUCCUAAGGUAGCGAAAUUCCUUGUCGGGUAAGUUCCGACCUGCACGAAUGGCGUAACGAUGGCGGCGCUGUCUCCACCCGAGACUCAGUGAAAUUGAAAUCGCUGUGAAGAUGCAGUGUAUCCGCGGCUAGACGGAAAGACCCCGUGAACCUUUACUAUAGCUUUGCACUGGACUUUGAAUUUGCUUGUGUAGGAUAGGUGGGAGGCUUUGAAGCGUGGACGCCAGUGUGCGUGGAGCCAACCUUGAAAUACCACCCUGGCAACUUUGAGGUUCUAACUCAGGUCCGUUAUCCGGAUCGAGGACAGUGUAUGGUGGGUAGUUUGACUGGGGCGGUCUCCUCCUAAAGAGUAACGGAGGAGUACGAAGGUGCGCUCAGACCGGUCGGAAAUCGGUCGUAGAGUAUAAAGGCAAAAGCGCGCUUGACUGCGAGACAGACACGUCGAGCAGGUACGAAAGUAGGUCUUAGUGAUCCGGUGGUUCUGUAUGGAAGGGCCAUCGCUCAACGGAUAAAAGGUACUCCGGGGAUAACAGGCUGAUACCGCCCAAGAGUUCAUAUCGACGGCGGUGUUUGGCACCUCGAUGUCGGCUCAUCACAUCCUGGGGCUGAAGCCGGUCCCAAGGGUAUGGCUGUUCGCCAUUUAAAGUGGUACGCGAGCUGGGUUUAGAACGUCGUGAGACAGUUCGGUCCCUAUCUGCCGUGGACGUUUGAGAUUUGAGAGGGGCUGCUCCUAGUACGAGAGGACCGGAGUGGACGAACCUCUGGUGUUCCGGUUGUCACGCCAGUGGCAUUGCCGGGUAGCUAUGUUCGGAAAAGAUAACCGCUGAAAGCAUCUAAGCGGGAAACUUGCCUCAAGAUGAGAUCUCACUGGAACCUUGAGUUCCCUGAAGGGCCGUCGAAGACUACGACGUUGAUAGGUUGGGUGUGUAAGCGCUGUGAGGCGUUGAGCUAACCAAUACUAAUUGCCCGUGAGGCUUGACCAU